UCGCGUCGGAACCUGCAGACACUUGUGGA
rnacentral:piRNA from 1 species